AGAGUUUGAUCCUGGCUCAGGAUGAACGCUGGCGGCGUGCUUAACACAUGCAAGUCGAACGAACCUUCGGGUUAGUGGCGGACGGGUGAGUAACGCGUGAGAAUCUGCCCUUAGGAGGGGGAUAACGGCUGGAAACGGCCGCUAAUACCCCAUAUGCCGAGAGGUGAAAUGAAUUUCGCCUGAGGAUGAGCUCGCGUCUGAUUAGCUAGUUGGUGUGGUAAAGGCUCACCAAGGCAUCGAUCAGUAGCUGGUCUGAGAGGAUGAUCAGCCACACUGGGACUGAGACACGGCCCAGACUCCUACGGGAGGCAGCAGUGGGGAAUUUUCCGCAAUGGGCGCAAGCCUGACGGAGCAACGCCGCGUGAGGGAUGAAGGCCUCUGGGCUGUAAACCUCUUUUAUCAAGGAAGAAGAUCUGACGGUACUUGAUGAAUAAGCCACGGCUAAUUCCGUGCCAGCAGCCGCGGUAAUACGGGAGUGGCAAGCGUUAUCCGGAAUUAUUGGGCGUAAAGCGUCCGCAGGCGUCUUGAAAGUCUGUUGUUAAAGCGUGGAGCUCAACUCCAUUUCAGCAAUGGAAACUAGAAGACUAGAGUGUGGUAGGGGCAGAGGGAAUUCCCGGUGUAGCGGUGAAAUGCGUAGAUAUCGGGAAAAACACCAGUGGCGAAGGCGCUCUGCUGGGCCAUAACUGACGCUCAUGGACGAAAGCCAGGGGAGCGAAAGGGAUUAGAUACCCCUGUAGUCCUGGCCGUAAACGAUGAACACUAGGUGUCGGGGGAAUCGACCCCCUCGGUGUCGUAGCCAACGCGUUAAGUGUUCCGCCUGGGGAGUACGCACGCAAGUGUGAAACUCAAAGGAAUUGACGGGGGCCCGCACAAGCGGUGGAGUAUGUGGUUUAAUUCGAUGCAACGCGAAGAACCUUACCAGGGUUUGACAUCCUGCGAAUCCCUUGGAAACUUGGGAGUGCCUUCGGGAGCGCAGUGACAGGUGGUGCAUGGCUGUCGUCAGCUCGUGUCGUGAGAUGUUGGGUUAAGUCCCGCAACGAGCGCAACCCACGUCUUUAGUUGCCAGCAUUAAGUUGGGCACUCUAGAGAGACUGCCGGUGAUAAACCGGAGGAAGGUGUGGAUGACGUCAAGUCAUCAUGCCCCUUACAUCCUGGGCUACACACGUACAACAAUGCUACGGACAAAGGGCAGCAAACUCGCGAGAGCUAGCAAAUCCCAUAAACCGUGGCUCAGUUCAGAUCGUAGGCUGCAACUCGCCUACGUGAAGGAGGAAUCGCUAGUAAUCGCAGGUCAGCAUACUGCGGUGAAUACGUUCCCGUGCCUUGUACACACCGCCCGUCACACCAUGGAAGUUGGCCACGCCCGAAGUCGUUACUCCAACCCGCAAGGGAGGAGGAUGCCGAAGGUGGGGCUGAUGACUGGGGUGAAGUCGUAACAAGGUA
rnacentral:rRNA from 1 species